GAUGAACGCUGGCGGCGUGCCUAAUACAUGCAAGUCGAGCGAACAGACGAGGAGCUUGCUCCUCUGACGUUAGCGGCGGACGGGUGAGUAACACGUGGAUAACCUACCUAUAAGACUUGGAUAACUUCGGGAAACCGGAUCUAAUACCGGAUAAUAUAUUGAACCGCAUGGUUCAAUAGUGAAAGACGGUUUUGCUGUCACUUAUAGAUGGAUCCGCGCCGCAUUAGCUAGUUGGUAAGGUAACGGCUUACCAAGGCAACGAUGCGUAGCCGACCUGAGAGGGUGAUCGGCCACACUGGAACUGAGACACGGUCCAGACUCCUACGGGAGGCAGCAGUAGGGAAUCUUCCGCAAUGGGCGAAAGCCUGACGGAGCAACGCCGCGUGAGUGAUGAAGGUCUUCGGAUCGUAAAACUCUGUUAUUAGGGAAGAACAAAUGUGUAAGUAACUAUGCACGUCUUGACGGUACCUAAUCAGAAAGCCACGGCUAACUACGUG
rnacentral:rRNA from 1 species